GAGCCCCCCCUCCAAGGGCUACGUCCUCGGAGCCCCAACAGUACCAUCAGUGGAGGCGGCGGGGUGGACGGCGGCAACCACAGGGCUCCUGCCCUGCUGUAUCCUCCCCUUGGAGGACCCGGUCCCUCGGGCUGGCUCCCCGGCGUGGUCAGGCGUGUCGGCCCCGGUCCCUCGGGCUGGCUCCCCGGCGUGGUCAGGCGUGGCGGCCCCGGUCCCUCGGGCUGGCUCCCCGGCGUGGUCAGGCGUGGCGGCCCCGGUCCCUCGGGCUGGCUCCCCGGCGUGGUCAGGCGUGGCGGCCCCGGACCCUCGGCCUGGCUCCCCGGCGUGGUCCCGCUUGGCGGCCCCGGACCCUCGGCCUGGCUCCCCGGCGUGGUCCCGCUUGGCGGCCCCGGACCCUCGGCCUGGCUCCCCGGCGUGGUCCCGCUUGGCGGCCCCGGACCCUCGGCCUGGUUCCCCGGCGUGGUCCCGCUUGGCGGCCCCGGACCCUCGGCCUGGCUCCCCGGCGUGGUCCCGCUUGGCGGCCCCGGACCCUCGGCCUGGCUCUCCGGCGUGGUCCCGCUUGGCGGCCCCGGACCCUCGGCCUGGCUCCCCGGCGUGGUCCCGCAUGGCGGCCCCGGACCCUCGGCCUGGCUCCCCGGCGUGGUCCCGCAUGGCGGCCCCGGACUCCCGUACCUGCACACAAUAAUCAGGGCCGAUCCAUCUGGGUACGUGUGGGCCCUGUCUCCACAUGUCCCCUCUGACACAUCUUGUGUCACCCCCUGCACCGCGCAGGGAGAUUGUCCCAGAGCCUCCGGCGACUGUUCCAGGCACCCCAGGCUGGUGCCUUCUGGGACUAUGCAGCCCCUCUCGCUGCCCGGCCCUGGUGCCAAGGGGGGGGCAUUGCCAGACCAUCCGGCUAGCCCCUUCUGCGUCCGUUGGGACAAGCAGGCCCUCUUCCUGCCUGUCCCAGCUGGGUCCUCAUGCCUACCCGGGGGCUCUAUGGCGCUCCACCCCUCUGGAGGCAGACGCAGGCCCAUGCCUGCCCCGCCCUCCUCACUGGCUACCGGAGGACCCAGCUCCAUCGCUUCCCCACCUCCCCUCCCCUCAGGAGGAGUCCCCAACCCGAACUGCACCCCCCCAAAAAAUUCUUUGGGGGAGCACCCCCCCCGGCUGGACUUAGGGGUACCUUGGGGCUUGUCCACCUCGCCUUGGACCAGCACAUUCGGGUCAGGAACCUCCUCCCUGGGGUUUGGCUCCGCGGCUGGGUCGCCAUCUGGUGGACACAAAGAGGGGAAGUGGGGGCGACAUACGGACACAUAUGCCACACAGACACACACAGACAGAGACAGACAGAAGAGAGGGUCGUCUGGCUCCCUCUCUGGGCUCUCCGGGACCUCCUCAGGGGGCACAGCCAGGAUCUCGGGAGGAGCGACCUUCUCGUCGCCCACCAGUGCUGGGUCUUCUUGCCCCGGAUCCUGACUGGCACUGGAUGUGGUGGAGGGGCAGAGUUCGAUCCCUGGCUCAGGCCGAUCAAACUCCGCCCUCAGUCUCUGUUGGAAGUCCCGAAAACUCCUGUCUGUCUCUCCCUGCUGCCAGAGGGUUGUGCUCCAGCCCCAUGCUGAUCCAGUCAGACACGUGAGGAUGGUAGUGAUCUCGUCUGUGUCUGCUGCCCCACUGAAGGGUCCCGGGACAAUUGGGCGGUCCCACACGGGGCUGGGCACGUCGCUGGAGAUGGUGGUAGGUGUGUGGUGUGGAGGGGGGUGGACGUCUUCUCCAGCAGGUGUGGACGCUGGUGCUGCGCUGCCAUUUUGCUGGGGAACGUCCGGGCAGAGGGAAGGCGGGUCGGCGACUGGAGCAGGAAUGGAGGAUUCCCUGCGAGGCAGUCCCGGCAGCGCAGUUGCUGGCUGGCGACCUCCCGUCGCCCUCUUCCACCAGCUUUCCUCACACUGCUGGGAGGGACGUGGGUCUCCACGGACCUCGUGACGCUCCUG
rnacentral:lncRNA from 1 species